AAACCAUGCAUCAGACAUUUCCUAAGUAAUUCCUUAAAUCGAUCCCAAGCUUCAUACAAUGUCUCAUCUUCUAAUUGCUAAAAAGAUGUGAAAUCAUUCCUUAACUU
rfam:Gossypium hirsutum cultivar TM-1 chromosome 3, whole genome shotgun sequence